UACUUUAUGUGGUGGAAAAUGUAACUGUUCUCCUACAGAGUGUGACCCCAAGAAUGGAUGUCUAGAAGGAAGAAGUGGCUGUUCCGCUGGAGUCCUGGAGGAUAUUAACCAAACGUGUUGUUAUAAUUAUUACAAAGUAAAUAACACUUGCCAAG